GACGAACGCUGGCGGCGCGCUUAACACAUGCAAGUCGAACGGAAAGGCCUGCGUUCCCUUGUGGACUGCGGUUACUCGCGUGGCGAACGGGUGAGUAACACGUGCGUUACCUGCCCCCAACUUGGGUAUAAGCCUGGGAAACUGGGUCUAAUUCCCGAUAGGACUGUAGGGUGGUGCCUGUGGUGGCAAACGAUGUUCUAGUGGCUGGGGAUGAGCUCGCGGCCUAUCAGCUUGUGGGUGGGGUAAUGGCCUACCAAGACGGCGACGGGUAGCCGGCCUGGGAGGGUGGACGGGCACAGUGGGACUGAGACACUGCCCCGAAUCCUACGGGAAGCAGCAGUGGGGAGUCAUGAGCGAUGAACGGAACCCUAAGGGAGCGACGCCGAGUGAGCGAUGACGGGCGUGGGGUUGUGGCCUCCGUUCGACCACGAGGAAGCGACCUGGUUGGAGGGGUGGUGACGGUAGUGGGAGAAGAAGCACCGGCUAACUACGUG
rnacentral:rRNA from 1 species